rnacentral:rRNA from 1 species
AGCGAACGCUGGCGGCAGGCCUAACACAUGCAAGUCGAACGAAGCCUUCGGGCUUAGUGGCGGACGGGUGAGUAACACGUGGGAACGUACCUUUUGGUUCGGAACAACUCAGGGAAACUUGAGCUAAUACCGGAUGAGCCCUUAGGGGGAAAGAUUUAUCACCGAAAGAGCGGCCCGCGUUAGAGUAGCUAGUUGGUGAGGUAAAGGCUCACCAAGGCAACGAUCUAUAGCUGGUCUGAGAGGAUGAUCAGCCACACUGGGACUGAGACACGGCCCAGACGCCUACGGGAGGCAGCAGUGGGGAAUCUUGCGCAAUGGGCGAAAGCCUGACGCAGCCAUGCCGCGUGAAUGAUGAAGGUCUUAGGAUUGUAAAAUUCUUUUACCAGGGACGAUAAUGACGGUACCUGGAGAAAAAGCCCCGGCUAACUUCGUGCCAGCAGCCGCGGUAAUAC